GGCGGGCGGGCGGCGGAGGCCCCGGCCCCGCGGCCCCGGCCCCGCUGGCGGCUCCGGGCCUCCCUGCCGCCUUGGUAGCGCCGCUCCGCACUCGGCCUGACCCGGGACGUCACUCCGCCUGGCUGUUUUCUCAAUGAUAACUUGGCAGGAGAAGGGGGAAGCGGCCGGGGUUUUUUGCUCGGGCUCGUUUGCCGGGGUGACGAUCAGCGCCAGGCCAGCCUCGCUGGGCACCGCCACGUCCCACCUGGAGAAAUAAAGCACACACGCAAAAAAAAAAAAAAAAAGAAAGGGGGGGGAGGGUGGUGUGGGAAGAAAAAAAAAAAAAAAGCAAAAAACCACAACCACCGAAAUAAGGGUGGCGGGGCUGCCACCCUCCAGCAGCACAGAUGCGCUCAGACGGGACAGCACGGCCGGUGACACGCUGCCACGCACAUGCUGCCAGCCCGCCAUGUCCGUGCGGGGAGGGGAAUGGAAUUAGGGUAAAAAAUAAAGCACCCCGAAGGCACUGCAAAUGAGGUCCGGGCCCCCCAAAUCCACAUCGAGCCCCCACGGCAUAGGCUGGUGUGGUACGCGGGUGGAUGCAUGCUCCAGUCAUGCUCCUUGUGGGCCAGGGCGUGAAGGUCGCUGGUGAGAUGGUGUCAGGCUGAGCUGGGGGUGUGCAGCCCACCCUCACGCGCUGCUGCUGGGGUGCAGCCGUGUCCCAAAGCGUCCCAUGCCACCACGCAGGGAGAUAAGGCCUGCUGCCACCGGCAUGGUCACCUGCGUGCCCAGGGCAUAGUUACGAGCAGGGGCAGGGGCUGGCAACAUGCUUGGAUAUCUUCCCUUGGGUUUUGGACUCCUUUGAGGGAAAUCCUGUAAGUAUAUGUGAAUUCAGGAGCUUAAGAUGUGUGGAUUUACUCCUGUGCUCAUACUUGUCUAUUUUCAGAGCUAGGCCUCACUCCUAGGUAUCCAUGGUGGCGCAGACUUGUGGGCCUUUUCAGCUAAAGCUAAGUUGUUACAUACAUACACUUUUAAUAUCCCAAACUGCAUCUGCACGCUGACCACAGGGCGCUCAGGAAAGCCCAAAGUCAAGUUUCUCCAUGCCAUGCUGCAUUUCUUGCCACCUGUUUUAACAAGGACUUGCAAUAUACACUUAGCUAGCACCAUGGAGUUCACAAAGGAGCACAAAACAGGGCUGAAACUAAAUUAUUUUUGCAGCUACAUCUGUUCAUAUUUAAUAUUAGCAUUAACACUUUCAUUUUCCUAAUUUAAAUACAAUAAAAGGGAAGAUUGCCUUUGUUUAAUAUUGUUACUAAUCAGGUUUUGCACUUCCAGUUGUUUUUUUUCAGGGGAUAAAGUCAGGGAGAAACUAGCAUAAAUGCAUAAACCUUUUCUGUUGCCAGACUCAGUACUCUGGAGCAGCUGUUAUUUUAAAUGUUGAGAUAGUCUAUUUCCACUGGAAAAAGACUGCUUUUUAACUGGGGAAAGAAAAAAAAAAAAAAAAAAAAGUAAAAAGUCCUUCUCAGAAUAUUAGGGAGUUCAAGCACCAUUUUAAGGAGAGUGAAAUUGAAAGUACUUUUUAUUUUUAACCCAAGCUGCUCGAGGUGCUUUCUGGCUUGGCUAUAAAGACUAGUUUGUCUAAUGUUUCUGUUUUGAAAUUGUUUCGAGCAGCAUUUAGACUAAAUUUUUGUUUGUCUUAAGUAUACUGUCUCAACAGAGCUCAGCAGAGCAGAGGGUACAUUACCUGUACAUUUUUGGUAGACUUGAAAAGCGCCGGUUGUUGUCUGUAUUCUACCAUUCAUUUUUAAAUGAGGCUCUGCUGAUUGAUGUGGGCAAUUUGUUUAAAAAAGAUGAAGGUUAUGGCAGAGCUACCCAAGAUGCCAUUUGCAGUUGUUCCAUACCUCUCAUAACAGGGAGAUUUUACUUGUGAUUGUUACACUUUUAAAAGGGAAUUAGUUAAUCAAAUUGCCAUUUUUGGAAUGCAUUGAAAGGAAUAUUAAAGUGCAUUAAUUUCAUUACAAGAAAUGAGCAGAUAGGCAACAAAACAAGUAUUAGUCAAAUAAGCAAGAACUUGCCUAUGGAGCCAAAUUCAGCCCCAAUGAAAUCAACAGAGCUGUGCUUGUCUGCAGCAUAUUUAAUUUGGCCUAUGUAGUCGCACAUCUGACACUUUAUUUGGUUGUCAAAGGUGUGUAUAUUAAAAAUGUGUGAGCCAUGCGUCUCCUCCAAUGUGAUUAACCUCUGAAGUUAGAUUCACCUGUUUUCCAUUUAGCUCAGCUGCACAGUCCUAUCGCAUAUGCAAUUUUUGGUGCGUGUACACACCAGAGAUGUAGAGAGGCAUUCCCACCCCAGCAUUAGUACAGGGACGUGCGUAGUAUCUGAAGUGAGGGCGUGAUGAGGUGGAUUUCAGCAUAGGUUGUUCACAACCAGAAGGCUUCCUGCGUGUAUGCUCCAGUUAAUAGGCUACACUGAAGUGUCUGCCACCAUCUUUCAUUACUGCUGUUACUCACGCCAGCGAGAGUAAAAGAAAGCUUGGUAUGUCUAUAAUCACAAGUUCAUUUGCUAUGUAGAUAUAUCUUAAGAGCCUCUCAGCCCAGCAAAAUUGUGCUGGAUUAAGGUAGAGUCUGAAUGUAAAGCAGAACUGUGCCCAGGUGCCUCAUUCAUUCUGGAAUGACAGAGCUGUUUCCUGGUUUCACUUAAUCCACUUCUAAAGUGGAUAAAGAGAAUUCAAGAAAGUGAAUUCUUACGCUGGCAUAAAAUUUGUCCACACAUGGUUUUAGUCGAGAGUAAUUAUUGCAGUGUAGCUAGUAAGUGUUUUGGAAUAACUUUGUGUGUAGACAAGUCCAAAGUUGCACACGUGAAAACAACACAAUGUAUGUAGUUUUUCUAUAUAACAUAAGGUUAAUUUAGCUCAACAUUUGACCUACUUCUUUCCUUGUGAGGCAUAUUUAAUUCAUUAAAGGUUUUUCUUUCUUAACAGAAACCUCACAACGGCUAUGCACUUAUGAUCAAGUCAAGGACAGCAAUUCCAUGUGCACUUCAAAAAAAACACAACCCACACCACCACCAAAAAAAAUAAACAAUGCGUACUCUGAGUACAUUCUCAGCUGUGUUGGAACAGACAGUCAGCUCUCUACUGGAGAAAAUACCGGGUUCUUGAUCAUAAUUUUUUUGAGUAGGUUGUUAACAAAAGGAAAACAAAACCCAAAGGUCUGCUAUGUCCUCUUAAACAGCCAUGAUCUGCUUGUACUUUGACUACAUGCCAUUCAAAGCAGUAGUGUCUACGUGAAGCACCCUUUAUAAUGCAACAAUACUAGUUCCUGCAUGAGGAACCUCGCAAACUUGCACAGGAUGGCUUGCAGAACAAUGGGGCUCUCAGGAGGCACCUCAGGAACAGGAAGCUAAUUUCGCAGUUUGUUUAGAGACCUGAUUCAGGAAGAGCCUACCUCAGUCUCAGGCAGUUACUUGCUCUGAAUGGGUGGGUACAGGAGGACUGAAUCAGGUGUAUUGUGUCACUACUGGUGUACAGGAAAAUUACCAAAACGAUAAUGAGAAAGGGAAAUUUUUUUGCACCUUCACGUCAAGCAGAAAGCUCUUCAAAUGUCAUUCUGUGCCACAGACCUUCCUUGGAAGAUCAGUGACUCUUUGACUUGAAUUAAGGCUCCUACAUUUCAAACUUUUUUUUCAAACAAAACCACAAACAAAAAUAGAUCUGAAAAAAGUGAUGUAAGGUCAGCAAGUAAAACAGCAAAGUUUCAAAGAGAAGCAUAAAUACAAAUGCUAGGCGUUACAAAUUCAAACACUGGCAUAGAAAAAGUCAAUAAAUGCUAUGAAGAUAUGUGGAAAAAAAUUACUUUGUGUAAGACUGUAAGGUGUGGGAAGGCAGAGGGUACCCAUGGAUCUUCCUAUAUAUACAUUGAGCAGCCCUGCUACUCCAUGUAACAGGCAUUGAUUCUGCAAAUGUGAUUCUUCUUAAGCUCAAUUUGUGAUUAUGAGCAUGGUUUUGCUCCACUGUGCUGGUAUUGGUUGAAGGAUACAGGGAAUGGAUUUCACAUAUGCCCCCCUCAUGCUUAGCCUGCUUAUUUAAGUAUGAAGCUCUGUGGUAAGAAAGAAAGCAUUGAACAAGGAAGGUAAAAAUCAAGCUCUAAUCCUGUUGUGUUGAGUAACAGCGAACAUGGGCCUAGUCUUGAUAGUAAGGCUGAAAGUAGGCUGAGAUUGAAGGCCAGGAGAGCUUUGGACCAUACGGGAACAUGCCAUAUCUAAAAUCACACUUGUGUCAACAACUGGAUUAGAUUAUUUUACACUGCUGCCACUGAGAGCUCUCCAGAAAUGGGAGGUACCUGCAGUGAGAGGGUGUCUCAGGUCUGCCCUACCCAUGCUAGUACAGGGGGAUUGCUGAUCCCUGUAGGGAAGGAAGAGGUCUUUAAAAUGCAGAGGUCUCGGAGACAAUGGCGUAAUAGAUGCAAGAGGAAAUCUCAGCACACAGCCAGUGUCGUGAAAUGAAGGAUCCUCUCUGGGAAUUGGUUAGUAGUGCCAAUGUUUAAUAUUUGUCAUAACAACCACUGACUGUUUUGUUUUUUGUUCUAACAAUGUGAAUUAUGCAUUAAACAUUAAUACAAGCGAGUGUA